rnacentral:misc_RNA from 1 species
AGAAAACCUGUUUGAUCUGAACAGAUCAAAAAUAGAUCUCGAUAUACAGCAAAUAUUGGACUCUGACAAUGGAUGCAGCUGUGAGGUGUAGCUUUUGCCGCCAAAGAUCAUUAAAUUUACUGAGAUGUAGUCGAUGUAAGGAGGUGUACUACUGCUCCAGGGACUGUCAGAGAGGACACUGGAGGGAGGGACACAGAAAACAAUGUGUAGCGGUGAACAAUCAGGGUAUAGGUGCAGCUUUGGAAUGUAGCUACUGCAACCAAAGGUCCACAGAUUUACUGAGAUGUAGCCGAUGUAAGGAGGUGUACUACUGCUCCGGGGACUGUCAGAGAGGACACUGGAGGGAGGGGCACAGAGAACAAUGCAAAUUGGUGACCAGCCAGGAUUCAAUGGUGUGUCGUUUCUGCUACGGGUCUUCAAAGCGUCUAAAGAGAUGUGUUGGGCGUCUUCAAGUGUCAUACUGCUCCAAAGAGUGCCAGAAAGAGGACUGGAGUCGAAGACAUAGAGUUGAAUGCAAAGCAAUGAAACCUUUAGAAAGGGAAAUGACAUAUCAAAUAAAAUCAGAAGUAAAAGAUGGAAAGAAAGAGCAGAAACCUUAUGAAAGGCAGAAUAAAACGGAAGAUGGAAAGAGUAAUGAGUUAUUAGAUUGCUGCUCGCUAUACGGAAACAAUGUUGAAUUGAAAAUUUGCAAAGAAUGUCACAAGAUUAGUAUUGUUCUCGAGAAUCUCAGAGGGUUGAAUGGAAAGCUCAUAAAACUAGUUGCAAGAGAGGAAAGGGUGAAACAGAAAAUCACGGAGAAAAAGAUGAUGAAAUGUUGUCAAUUUGUGCUCAUUAUAGAGUAAAAGGUUCACACAAUGCUUGCGAGUAUUGUAGUGCAGUUUGUUAUUGUUCAGAUACUUGUCAACGAUUUGACGGGGGGGGGGGGGACACAAAACAACGUGUAUUGCGCACCGGAAAAACAAAAAUCCCAGAGACGUUAACUGUUGAACAAUGCACUCUCUUCGGCCUUGUGACGCAAGAAGAGAAUAAUGGUGCUGAUCCCAAUGAUGUCCAUGCACAUGAUAGUAAUAGAGGAAUAGAGAAAGGCCUUAAAGUUUUUUGCUAUCGAUGUGAAAGCCAACCUUCAAUUUUAACCUGUCCUGACUGCAAUUCCGCAACAUAUUGCUCUGUUUUGUCUUGAUCAGGAUGAAGAUGGCCACAAAGAAACUUGCAAAGCUAUACAAGCAGAAAAUUCCAAGAGGGACCUUCAUCUUUUCCUACUUCUACAACACUUGGUUUUAUUAGUGAAACUUCGAAAAAAUUGAAUUUAGUGUCAACAAACCACGCCCGGUCUCAUUCGAUAUUAUCGUUUCUACAAGACCCUCUACAUCUACAGGCUAACGCGGACCUGACACUAGUUAUCGAAAGAUCUGCAAUAUCUUGCGAAAGAGUCCAAGAAAAGAUAGAACGAAAGUUUCCAAAUUAUAUUUUGAUUACUCGAAUCAGGGAAAUACCAAUGGAGAAAAUCUCAAUGCUUGGCACUAAUAUUUGCACACAACCUCUUGUUUUCCUGUCCUAAAUUAAAAGAUGUCAUGGAUACAGGGGUCGACAUAACGUUUACUUACAGGACUUUGAGAGAAGGGAAAUCUAUGUUAGUUUCUACCUCCUAAACGACGAUCCUUCGCCACAUUUUCGAUGGAGUGACGUAGUUUCGGAAAAUUCAUCGCCAUUUUGUUUCCCUGCAUUCACUUAUUCCGUGAUGGAAGUAUUGGUUUACGGGUUGAUAAGGCUACUAAUGCUGACAUUUUCGAUAUAAAGGAUUGAAUGAAAUGAAAUCAUAUUUGUAGAGAUGUGUUUUUAUCUAAUAUUUAUUUUAGAUUCUUCAAUUUGAUUUAAGUUCGAAGUGAGUAAUACCGAAAUUGAAAAGUAGAUUCAAAUAUUUUGAGUUAAUUAUUUUAUAUAUUUUUGCAUUAUUUCUGCUAGUAUGUUAAACAUGUCUAGCUAAGUAAAACGUUUUAUUUUUUUAAAAACUCUCCUGAGUUGUCAACCGUGUCAAUAAAAUGUUUGAUCUUAAAUAC